rnacentral:rRNA from 1 species
AUUGAACGCUGGCGGCAGGCCUAACACAUGCAAGUCGAACGAGUGGCGGACGGGUGAGUAAUGUCUGGGAAACUGCCUGAUGGAGGGGGAUAACUACUGGAAACGGUAGCUAAUACCGCAUACCAUCGGAUGUGCCCAGAUGGGAUUAGCUAGUAGGUGGGGUAACGGCUAACCUAGGCGACGAUCCCUAGCUGGUCUGGGAGGAUGACCAGCCACACUGGGACUGGGCGACCGUCCAGACUCCCACGGGAGGCAGCAGUGGGAGAAAUUGGACAAUGGGGGCAAGCCUUAAGCAACCAAUCCGCGGGUAAUGAGAAGGCCUUCGGGUUUUAAAGUACUUUCAGCGGGGAGGCGUUACCCGCAGAAGAAGCACCGGCUAACUCCGUGCCAGCAGCCGCGGUAAUAC